UAAUGCAGUCGAGCGGACAGAUGGGAGCUUGCUCCCUGAAGUUAGCGGCGGACGGGUGAGUAACACGUGGGUAACCUGCCUGUAAGACUGGGAUAACUCCGGGAAACCGGGGCUAAUACCGGAUGGUUGUUUGAACCGCAUGGUUCAAACAUAAAAGGUGGCUUCGGCUACCACUUACAGAUGGACCCGCGGCGCAUUAGCUAGUUGGUGAGGUAACGGCUCACCAAGGCGACGAUGCGUAGCCGACCUGAGAGGGUGAUCGGCCACACUGGGACUGAGACACGGCCCAGACUCCUACGGGAGGCAGCAGUAGGGAAUCUUCCGCAAUGGACGAAAGUCUGACGGAGCAACGCCGCGUGAGUGAUGAAGGUUUUCGGAUCGUAAAGCUCUGUUGUUAGGGAAGAACAAGUACCGUUCGAAUAGGGCGGUACCUUGACUUUUACAUAUAUUUUUAAAGCCACGGCUAACUACGUGCCAGCAGCCGCGGUAAUACGUAGGUGGCAAGCGUUGUCCGGAAUUAUUGGGCGUAAAGGGCUCGCAGGCGGUUUCUUAAGUCUGAUGUGAAAGCCCCCGGCUCAACCGGGGAGGGUCAUUGGAAACUGGGGAACUUGAGUGCAGAAGAGGAGAGUGGAAUUCCACGUGUAGCGGUGAAAUGCGUAGAGAUGUGGAGGAACACCAGUGGCGAAGGCGACUCUCUGGUCUGUAACUGACGCUGAGGAGCGAAAGCG
rnacentral:rRNA from 1 species